rnacentral:rRNA from 1 species
AGUCUGGUGCCAGCAGCCGCGGUAAUUCCAGCUCCAAUAGCGUAUAUUAAAGUUGUUGCAGUUAAAAAGCUCGUAGUUGGAUUUCUGUUAAUAAUUUAUAUAAAAUAUUUUGACGAAUAUUUAUAUAAUAUUAACAUAAUUCAUAUUACUAUUUUUUUUAGUAUAUGAAAUUUUACUUUGAGAAAAUUAGAGUGCUUAAAGCAGGCAUAUGCCUUGAAUACUCCAGCAUGGAAUAAUAUUAAAGAUUUUUAUCUUUCUUAUUGGUUCUAAGAUAAGAAUAAUGAUUAAUAGGGACAGUUGGGGGCAUUUGUAUUUAACAGUCAGAGGUGAAAUUCUUAGAUUUGUUAAAGACAAACUAAUGCGAAAGCAUUCGCCAAGGAUGUUUUCAUUAAUCAAGAACGAAAGUUAGGGGAUCGAAGACGAUCAGAUACCGUCGUAGUCUUAACCAUAAACUAUGCCAACUAGAGAUUGGAGGUUGUUCCUUACU